rnacentral:ncRNA from 1 species
CAACUCUGGAGAGACCGGUCAAACCCGGCGCCGAAGGUGCAUGGGACAGGCUCGCGCCCGUCCCGAACUCUCAGGCAAAAGGACAGAGGGG